AGUGAACGCUGGCGGUAGGCCUAACACAUGCAAGUCGAACGGCAGCACAGAGGAGCUUGCUCCUUGGGUGGCGAGUGGCGGACGGGUGAGGAAUACAUCGGAAUCUACUCUGUCGUGGGGGAUAACGUAGGGAAACUUACGCUAAUACCGCAUACGACCUACGGGCGAAAGCAGGGGAUCUUCGGACCUUGCGCGAUUGAAUGAGCCGGUGUCGGAUUAGCUAGUUGGCGGGGUAAAGGCCCACCAAGGCGACGAUCCGUAGCUGGUCUGAGAGGGUGAUCAGCCACACUGGAACUGAGACACGGUCCGGACUCCUACGGGAGGCAGCAGUGGGGAAUAUUGGACAAUGGGCGCAAGCCUGAUCCAGCCAUACCGCGUGGGUGAAGAAGGCCUUCGGGUUGUAAAGCCCUUUUGUUGGGAAAGAAAUCCAUCUGGUUAAUACCCGGGUGGGAUGACGGUACCCAAAGAAUAAGCACCGGCUAACUUCGUGCCAGCCGCCGCCGUAA
rnacentral:rRNA from 1 species